GCCAAAAAAUGGGAAAGAUCAUUUUGGCAUUCCUGGUGACAUUCUGAGCAUCUCACAACAACCCCCUGCCCCUUGGGGUCCUUGGAUCUGAGGGGUGGAGACCCGCAGAUGCCUCUGGCUGGCUGUGGGUUGAGGGCUCCGGACCAGCGGCAAGGAGAGUCACCCCAAGCGCCCACAAGGCCCAGAGGAGGGAAGGGAAACAGGCCACUCCAGAGGGAAUCGGCUUCCCCGGAAACCUCUGCACACCCCUUCCUGUGCUUUAAAGGAACAUUGGCUUUUUGGCGGUAGAGAUACUGCAGCUGGGCCGCCCUGGCUGCACAGGAGGCCGGGUGGCGUGUGGUGGGAAGCCUGCACUUGGACGUGGUUUUAACCCCGGGGCUCUGUUUGUGUCCCGGGAUUGCCCGCCCGGGUUCCUUCAGGCCUGAUUCCAUUUUCACUUCUUGGCACUGCCUGAUUGAGAAGGAAGCGUAUGCCUCCAGCAAGAUGGGCGGAGUCAGCAGAGACGCUGACCACUGAGUCCGAGAGCAGAGAGCUGGGGCUGCGACCAGCUCUGAUGGAGAUGGAUGCUUUCUGGACCUCCUAGACACAGCAGGAGCCCAGUGAGAGGGUCUGGCUGCUCCCACCCAGAGACCCCAGAGAAGCCUGGCAUGGAGAGCAAGCUUCAUGUUGCCGGGAACGCUUGGAGUGACAGCUCGGGGCUUGUGUCCCAACCCAGCAGAUGACCAAUGGAGGGAAAUAAAGUGGAACUGAAACC